rnacentral:rRNA from 2 species
AGUGAAGCGGGAUGAGCUCAAAUUUAAAAUCUGGCUGGUUUACUAGUCCGAAUUGUAGUUUAAAGAAGCGUUUUCGGUGGCAGCCUGGGUAUAAAUCCUUUGGAAUAGGGUAUCAUAGAGGGUGAGAAUCCCGUCUUUGACUCAGUGCAUGCUACUAUGUGAUACGUUUUCAAAGAGUCGAGUUGUUUGGGAAUGCAGCUCAAAAUGGGUGGUAAAUUUCAUCUAAAGCUAAAUAUUGGCGAGAGACCGAUAGCGAACAAGUACCGUGAGGGAAAGAUGAAAAGAACUUUGAAAAGAGAGUUAAAUAGUGCGUGAAAUUGUUGAAAGGGAAACGUUUGACACCAGUCAUGCGGGUGGAAAAUCAGUCUUUUGGGGUGGGGAGUGGUAGGAGUUCAGACCGCAAGGCUGGCUUUUGCUUCAUCUCUGUCCUAAAGGAUGCACUUUUUCAUCUGCAGGUCAACAUCAGUUUCUUCUGCUGGACAAAACUCCGAGAGAAGGUAGCAGCUUAGGCUGUGUUAUAGCUCUGGAGCGAUACAGUGGAGGGGACUGAGGUUUUCGCAGUGUGUGCUCUCGGGCAAGGUCGACUGGGUGCUAUGUGAUCGUUCGGUGUACAAUGCAUGCAUUUUGCGCUGUGUCUUUUGCAUACUCGCCUGAAUCGACUCUUCCACGCUUAGGAUGUUGACUUAAUGGUUUUAAACGACCCGUCUUGAAACACGGACCAAGGAGUCUAACAUAUAUGCAAGUGUUUGGGUGGCAAACCCAUACGCGUAAUGAAAGUGAACGUAGGUGCGAUCCGCAAGGUGCAGCAUCGACCGAUCUUGAUAUUUUUGGAUAGAUUUGAGUAAGAGCAUAUAUGCUGGGACCCGAAAGAUGGUGAACUAUGCCUGAAUAGGGUGAAGCCAAGAGGAAACUCUGGUGGAGGCUCGUAGCGAUUCUGACGUGCAAAUCGAUUCGUCAAAUUUGGGUAUAGAAGGCGAAAGACUA